CUACGGAGGGUGCAAGCGUUACUCGGAAUCACUGGGCGUAAAGCGCGCGCAGGCGGCUAUUUAAGUUGGAUGUGAAAGCCUACGGCUCAACCGUAGAACUGCAUCCAAAACUAUUUAGCUAGAGUGUGGAGAGGAAGAUGGAAUUAGUUGUGUAGGGGUAAAAUCCGUAGAGAUAACUAGGAAUACCAAAAGCGAAGGCAAUCUUCUGGAACACUACUGACGCUGAGGUGCGAAAGCGUGGGUAGCAAACGGGAUUAGAAACCCUUGUAGUCC
rnacentral:rRNA from 1 species